rnacentral:rRNA from 1 species
GACGAACGCUGGCGGCGUGCUUAACACAUGCAAGUCGAACGAUGAAGCCGGAGCUUGUUCUGGUGAAUUAGUGGCGAACGGGUGAGUAACACGUGAGUAACCUGCCCUUGACUCUGGGAUAACUGCUAGAAAUGGUAGCUAAUACCGGAUACGACCCUCGGAGGCAUCUCCAGGGGGUGGAAAGAAUUUCGGUCAAGGAUGGACUCGCGGCCUAUCAGCUAGUUGGUGAGGUAACGGCUCACCAAGGCGACGACGGGUAGCCGGCCUGAGAGGGUGACCGGCCACACUGGGACUGAGACACGGCCCAGACUCCUACGGGAGGCAGCAGUGGGGAAUAUUGCACAAUGGGCGCAAGCCUGAUGCAGCAACGCCGCGUGAGGGAUGACGGCCUUCGGGUUGUAAACCUCUUUUAGUAGGGAAGAAGCGAAAGUGACGGUACCUGCAGAAAAAGCACCGGCUAACUACGUGCCAGCAGCCGCCGCUG